rnacentral:rRNA from 1 species
UACGAAGGGGGCGAGCGUUGUUCGGAAUUAGUGGGAGUAAAGGGUGCGUAGGCGGCUUAUUUAGUGGAGUGUGAAAGCCCCGGGCUCAACCUGGGAACGGCGCGCGAGACGGGGGGGCUGGAGUUCGGGAGAGGAGCGUGGAAUUCCCAGUGUAGAGGUGAAAUUCGUAGAUAUUGGGAAGAACACCGGUGGCGAAGGCGGCGCUCUGGACCGAGACUGACGCUGAGGCACGAAGGCCAGGGGAGCAAACGGG